rfam:Brachypodium distachyon strain Bd21 chromosome 3, whole genome shotgun sequence.
UAUUUACUCCCUCCGUCCGGAAAUAAGUGACUUGAAUUUGUCUAGAUUCGCAUGUAUUUACAUACUAAAACAGGUCUAGAUACAUACGAAUUUAGACAAAUUUUGAGUCACUUAUUUCCGGACAGAGGGAGUACUAA